AAUGGGAUGGUUCGAGGCUGCACAGCUGAGGACUUCUGCACUGAGGCUGGAAAGCAGAGGUCUCAGGGACACAGUCUGAGCUGGGACUCUGUUUCCCAGACCACAAACAAAGGAUGGAUUCUCUCCCCAGCAAAAGAGGCCGGUGGAAAGUGAAGAUCAAGGACUCAUUAUCAGCAUUGAAAUACGCCACCUGCCCCUGGUCGUAGUCCAGAUAAAUCCAGAUCCUCAUGGGGACCCAGCUCAGGGGCAGAGGAGUUAGGGGGUCAGUGAGAGGCCAAUACUGACCCUUCCAGUAUUCCACAGCCCAGACACCCCCCUCAGGGUUAAAGCUGAUCUGUCCCUUCCUCCCCACAGACUCUCUGGCCAUCCCUACGGCCCAGCCCCCUUGUCCCCCCACCUCCACCUCCCCCACAACGUCUCCCCAAGGUGAAUCAUUGCCCAGCACGCAGCGCUCGUAAUCAAAUCUCUUGGUCAUGUUGGGCAUUUGUUCCAUAAGCAUCCAUAUCUCACGGCUUUCCCAUCCUCAGACAGGACAAGUUGGGGAUGAGCAGUGUCUGGAUCCAGAGUCAUGUGCAUUGGGGGGGAGGGAAUCCAAGCAUUAAGGGCAGAGCUCAGCCCUGGGGAAGCUGGGACCAUUUCUUACACUCCCCGGAGCAGCCCUGUCCCAGCUGGGAUGCUCCUGGAUCCCAGGAGCUGCCUCUGUCCUGGGCACCUGAGACUGAGCAGGAGGUCACUGCAGUUCCUCAGUCAAUGUAAGGGGAACAACUUCUAUAGCUUCUCAUUUGCUUGCUCCCCCUGCCAGGACCACUCCAUUCCCAGUGCAGAGACACAGCAAGCAAGGAAGGAGAAGCUGUUAGCGAGGAUGUAGGGAGAGCCAUCAGGCGACGGCUUUGAACCCCAAAGGGAAGCGCCUUCCCCUAAUGUGUCCCCCACUGGGCCGGGAACAGAUGAAGAAGCCAGACAGCACCAGUGAAUAGGAAGCGGGAGGUGGCACAGGCUGAGGUAGCUCCAUUCCCAGCCCAGAGAGAAGGGGACAGCAUCAGAGGGACAGCAUCCUCCCCCAUCCAUUAAGUAUUGAACUGCUCCAAUGGGAGAGCCCAGCCCGGGCCACAGGAAAGGAAGGAUGUUGGAAGAGACUGGGAAGGAUGUGGCAGCCAUGAGAGGACAGAUCUCACUACUUAUUCCUCUGCCUUUAAUAUGAAGCGCAUGUCAAUGACCAAUCAAAUGACGGUCAGAGUUAAGGGGUUGGGUGCUGGGCUUGGAGCAUUUGUCUGGUUACUGGUGUGUGGGAGAGUUGCUUCCAGGGAUUCUCUGAAAUCAUAAAAUCUCCACCAGAUCUUACCGUUGGCAUGUGAUCCCAAAUAUUUUCCCCCCUUCCCGCUCCAGUUCAGAUGGCAAAGUCUCUGAGGGGGAAAGGAUUAGAGUUUUGCUGCCUGAUUUAUAAUGUGGCCUCUGGCAACUGCCUCUCUGGCUUGGGCAUCUGAGACUGAGCAUGGAUGCCCUGGCAGUUCCCCCACAUGGUGAAUGGAGGUGGCGGGGCUGUGGCUGCUGUACCUCCUUCCCAGCUGCAUCCUGGUCUCUCCACACAUUCCUCUGACUUUCAAAUUAAAAAAAUCAUUUGAAUGUCUAUGGAACCCCCACAGGACACAGUUAGGGUAUUUUUUUCCUGCUCAAAGACAGUGCUUCUGUUCACAGGCAGUGCCUGCACUCAGCAUUAAGAUUUAUGUCCAGAUUGUUUGAGUGAGUUCAGCUGGGGCUCUCCUUAGACCUGACCAUUUACA